rnacentral:rRNA from 1 species
GAUGAACGCUAGCGGCAGGCUUAAUACAUGCAAGUCGAGGGGCAGCACGGGUAGCAAUACCUGGUGGCGACCGGCAAACGGGUGCGGAACACGUACGCAACCUUCCCGAAACUGGUGAAUAGCCCCCCGAAAGGAGGAUUAAUACACCGUAAGAUAAUGGAGUGGCAUCACUCUAUUAUUAUAGCUACGGCGGUUUUGGAUGGGCGUGCGCCUGAUUAGGUAGUUGGCGGGGUAACGGCCCACCAAGCCUGCGAUCAGUAACUGGUGUGAGAGCACGACCAGUCACACGGGCACUGAGACACGGGCCCGACUCCUACGGGAGGCAGCAGUAAGGAAUAUUGGUCAAUGGACGCAAGUCUGAACCAGCCAUGCCGCGUGAAGGAUGAAGGCCCUCUGGGUUGUAAACUUCUUUUAUCUGGGACGAAAAAGGGAAUUCUUUCCACUUGACGUACCAGAGGAAUAAGCACCGGCUAACUCCGUG